GGAUACUUCAUCUGAUGCACUUCUUUAUUUCUGUCACAAGCUGAUUGCACAAGGAAAUCUUGUUAUCUCAUUCAACUUAUAACUUAUCAAUGGGGCCAUUAGCUUCACAUCGAGUUUUGGACAGCCAGGGGAAAAUUCCAAUUCUUCAAUAAAAAUCAGUUGCAAUGGAAACUUUUACUUUCCAUUUUUCUGAACAGAGACCUGAGAUCAAGUGACCAAGGAGCAUCAAAAGCAAACACUGAUGUCUCUCUGUGUUCUUUGAAUCAAUGUGGGUUCUUAAGCUGCCUGUCUGGUCUUCCAGAAGUUAAAAUCAUUAUUCAUGGCAUCACAAGGACAAGCAAGUCUCCGUUUUGUCACCUGGAAC